GCGAUAGCUCAGCCCGUAGAGCUUGAGACUCUUAAUCUUAGGGUCAUGAGUUUGAGCCCCAUGUUGGGCG